GGCUACGGCCAUAUCACGAUGAAUGCACCUCAUCCCGUCCGAUUUGAGAAGUUAAGCAUCGUCGAGCCACAUCAGUACUGAGGUUGGAGACAACUUGGGAACCUGUGGUGCUGAAAUCU
rfam:Naegleria gruberi genomic scaffold NAEGRscaffold_816, whole genome shotgun sequence.